rnacentral:rRNA from 1 species
CAGCCGCCGCGGUAAUACAGAGGGUGCAAGCGUUAAUCGGAAUUACUGGGCGUAAAGCGUGCGUAGGUGGUGGUUUAAGUCCGUUGUGAAAGCCCUGGGCUCAACCUGGGAAUUGCAGUGGAUACUGGGUCACUAGAGUGUGGUAGAGGAUAGUGGAAUUUCCGGUGUAGCAGUGAAAUGCGUAGAGAUCGGAAGGAACAUCUGUGGCGAAGGCGACUAUCUGGGCCAACACUGGCACUGAGGCACGAAAGCGUGGGGAGCAAACAGGAUUAGAUACCCCUGUAGUCCCUGUCUCUUAUAC